AGGGUUAGAAACCCUUAGAUUUCAUGCCAUCAAGCGUAACAGUGUAACCCCACCAUGUCAUUUCUUUGCUACUUAUAGCAUCCCAAGUUGAUGAUCCAUUUCAUGUUUUCUCUCCUUUUUCAGAUGCAUACUAUGAUGUCCAAUGUGGGUGUCUGAACUGAAAUCUGAACUCUGAACUCUGAAGGCUGUUGUUUCCAUCAGGGUGCAUUGGUUCAGCAGAGAUCGGUGAUCUAUGUUUUCAUAUUUGGUCACGUUCUACCGGUCUUUUUCGAUGGAAAUGAAGGUAAUUGGAGGAGUUCUAUCUGUUUGAUGGAAUUCAGAACCAAAAUCCGAAUUCCACAAAAUGGCUAGAGGAAAAUUUUUAGGGCUAUUUGCAAUUCCACAACCAUAAGCAUGGCCAACUGGUAGUUCUCCAAGUAAAAGAAGUUAGGAGCUGGUUAUGAUGGUACUAAUUAUUCAGUUUCUUCUAUUGAUCCUGAAAGUUCUAUGCCAGGAUAAGAAAAGCUUGUGCAAACCCUCCAAGCCAUGAAAACAAUUAUCAUCAAGAGAAUUGAAGAUUCUAUUUUUUUUUUCUUAGGAUCUGCAGGGAAAAUUAUUCAGAUAGUGGAACAGGUUCAAGUAGCCAUUUGAAACUCAACACAACUUUAUAUCAAGAACAAAUGAACAAUGAAUGGUAGAUCCAAUCUUCAAUGGAGAAUCAUGGACCACCGAAUUGGGCUAUCUUCCCGAGCUAUCUACGACUACAUGCAUAGUAUAAUAGAUGCAAUCAUGCAAGUGUGCAACUAGUAGUUUUUUUUUUCUGAAGGAGAUGAGAUUAGGUAUAGCAUGUAAUGGUCCUGGUGUAUAAUGCCAUGGCACACUCAACUUGCAUUUAAACAAUGCUAGUCCCUGCAGACCUUG
rnacentral:sRNA from 1 species